ACCCUCUCAGGGUCGCACCUGUAAGGUUUCCAGUACUCUACCAGUUUAGACUAUGGGAGGGAGAGUCAAGCAGAGGCAUGUCGAUUCCAUUCCUAGCUUGGGCAGUGGCUAGUGAGUGGAAGGCAAUCUGCUACAAGU